rnacentral:misc_RNA from 1 species
UAACCCCUCAAGCUCAGCUUGGUGUUGGGGCCUGCCAACUGGCAGCCCUUAAAAUCAGUGGCGGCGCCAUCUGGCUCUAAGCGUAGUAAUUUCUCUCGCUAUAGGGUCCCGGUGGAUGCUGGCCAGCAACCCCCAACUUUCUAUGG